GACGAACGCUGGCGGCGUGCUUAACACAUGCAAGUCGAACGAUGAACCCGGAGCUUGCUCCGGCGGAUUAGUGGCGAACGGGUGAGUAACACGUGAGUAACCUGCCCUUGACUCUGGGAUAACUGCUAGAAAUGGUAGCUAAUACCGGAUACGACCCUCGGUGGCAUCACCAGGGGGUGGAAAGAAUUUCGGUCAAGGAUGGACUCGCGGCCUAUCAGCUAGUUGGUGAGGUAACGGCUCACCAAGGCGACGACGGGUAGCCGGCCUGAGAGGAUGACCGGCCACACUGGGACUGAGAUACGGCCCAGACGCCUACGGGGGGCAGCAGUGGGGAAUAUUGCACAAUGGGCGCAAGCCUGAUGCAGCGACGCCGCGUGAGGGAUGACGGCCUUCGGGUUGUAAACCUCUUUCAGCACCGACGAAGCGCGAGUGACGGUAGGUGCAGAAGAAGGACCGGCCAACUACGUGCCAGCAGCCGCGGUAA
rnacentral:rRNA from 1 species